GAGGGUGAAAAGUUCCUGAACUUGCUUAGGGUUAAGGCUAUUUAUAGUACCCGUCUUGAAACACGGAUUAGGGAGUUUAUCUGUAGUGCGAGUCUUUGCACGUUAACUGUAAAGGCGUAGAGAAAGCAACUGGCGUUUGCAUGGCUAUUGAGCAUUACUGAUAGGACCCGAAAGGUGGUGAACUUUGCCUGCACAGGUUGAAGUCAGGGGAAACUCUGAUGGAGGACCGUACGGGUUAUUGAUGUGCAAAUCAUUUUUUUGAUGUAGGUAAAGGUGCGAAAGACUCAUCGAACCACCUAAUAGCUGGUUUCCUCCGAAGUUUCCCUCAGGAUAGCUGUAAUGCAUUUAGUUAAGGGGAGUAGAGAUAUGGGUAGAGGUGCAGGGAGCCUUCGGGUUCUCAACUUAUUUCCAAACUUCGAACCUCCUUGUUAGGCAUUUACCUAACUGGAAAUGCUUAAAUGAAUUAGCGUUACAAGUGGGCUCUGACCGGUAAGCGGUCAUGGCGAAAUGGGAUGAACCAUACGUCUGAAUAAGGUGCCGAAAUGUACUAUCACUGAUACCAUAAAGGGAGUCCAUGUAUUUAGACAGCAGGUCGGUGCCCCUAAAAGCAGGUAUCCGCUAAAGAGUGUGUUAAAACUCACCUGCCGAAUACUAG
rnacentral:ncRNA from 1 species